rnacentral:rRNA from 1 species
GUGUCAGCCGCCGCGGUAAUACGUAGGGGGCGAGCGUUGUCCGAAUUCACUGGGCGUAAAGCGCGCGUAGGCGGACAUUUAAGUUGUGGGUGAAAUCCCGGGGCUCAACCCCGGAACUGCCUGCAAAACUGGGUGUCUUGAGGUAUGAAGAGGGAAGUGGAAUUCCUGGUGUAGCGGUGAAAUGCGUAGAUAUCAGGAGGAACACCCGUGGCGAAGGCGGCUUCCUGGUCAUAUCCUGACGCUGAGGUGCGAAAGCCAGGGGAGCGAACGGGAUUAGAUACCCCGGUAGUCCUGGCCGUAAACGAUGGAUACUAGGUGUUAGAGGUAUCGACCCCUCUAGUGCCGCAGCUAACGCAUUAAGUAUCCCGCCUGGGGAGUACGACCGCAAGGUUGAA